AGGAGGAUCUUUGACACCAGGGGCCAUGGAGUGCGGGUUGCCACCACCUGUCACUCUUGGCCCCCGUUCAGAGGACACGGCAUUCUUCCCACGGCCUGACAUGGGGUAGAAUAGCGUUGGAACCAUCAGGGAAAAAAAAAAGGAGGGGCGCCUGGGCCCUGGGGAGCAGGCUGUGGCCAGGCCUUACCGGGCAUCCCCUGUGGCCGGGAUGAGGGAAGGGGCUACAAGAAGAGGGGCCCUUGGCGGGGCUGAAGGGCAAGACUAUGGCCAGGCCCAGGCAUGGCUUUGCCCGCCUCAAUGCCACACCUCCCGGGGUUCCCAGGAGCUUGGGGAGAGCCACUGGGGCCCCGGGGCCCACCUCGGUGCCCCCGGUAUCCGGAUCUACUCAGACCAUCUCUGGACGAACAAGGAAGGCGCUUGACACAUGCUAACAGGAGCUGGAGCACCCCUCCUCAUCCUGGCUCGGAGCACCCCUCCUCAUCCUGGCUCGGUCUCUUCUCUGGGCUGGUCCUGUGCACUGCUUCUCUUCUUCAAGGUUCAGCAGACAGCAUGCCUCCUCCAGGAAGCAAAAAUGACCCAUGUCUGUGUAGCACCUCCCCAGGAGGGGCUGGGCUGGAUAUGAACCUGAGCUCACCGAAGAGAAGGAAGGGAGUCCAGCCACCAAGCACCUCCUGUUGGCUUUUUCCAACUUCUCAUUACUCAUUGUCACUGGUGUAACUGUGGACCACACUCACCCCAUUUUCUAGAUGAAGGCCAGGAGGGCUAAAGGAAUGAGUGACUUGCCUAACGCCCUCAAUAGAGAAGAAUCUAGAAAUAGAGGUUAGUAGAAUACUUCGUACACUUCACGAUCCCAUGGCAUUCAGAAAGUUGGAAAAUGUCUCUGGCCCUCACCUGUGAUGGGGACACCACUGGCCCUCUAUUUGGCUGUCUCCCUAGCAUGGUUUGGCUUGCCUUGAAAUGUUGGAUAUCUCCACCAGCAAUACUCCUUGGUGCCCCCAGGCUACUCCCGUGGUGAGCUCACAACCUAGGCAUGGCUACAUGUCAUCACGUGUCUGCCAUAAUAGCCAGUGUUUGGCUAGCAAGGCUGGCUGGGAGUUUGGAUUGCUUUACUGGGGUGGUCCUUGAUGGCAUCCCCUAGUUACCUCUGUGGCUAUCAAUAUAUCACCUGUCAGACACUGAGAGAGGGCCCACUAAGAGCCAGGUCUGAUGAUGCCAAGAGAUGACUUUUUACCCAGCUCCUAGGACCCACACAGGAGUCCUUAGAGUUUGGUGUUUCGUUUGUUAAAGAUGUAGAGACCGAUGCUGGGGGGAGGGGGAGGUAAACUGCUUGUCCCAAAGCCCCUGAGCCUGGAGAGUGGCUUCAGAAUAGUCACAUUCAAACUCAGAGCCACCUCUAAUCACAACAGGUUUUAUUCUAAUCUGCUGGUCUUGUCAGGAUUCCCCCAUAAAAUCAACUAGCCAAGGCCAGCCAGUUGCUUGAGGAGCGCUGUGGGUGGUGGGGGCAGAGGUUGGUGUCACGGUGUCCUCUUCCAUCGCUCCACCUGAUCUAUGUGGGUUUUGUUUGUUUGUCUUUGUCAACUUGAUGCAAGCUGGGGCCAUCUUAGAAGAGGAAACUUGGAUUGCCUCUGUAAGAUUAGCCUAUAGGCAAGUCUGUAAGGCAUUUUCUUGAUCAGUGAUUGAUGGGGAAGAGCACAGCCCACCAUGGGUGGUGUUAUCACUGGGCAAGGAGUCCUGAGCUGUAUAAGCUUACAGGCAGAGCAAGCCAGGGGGAGCAAGCCAGUAAACAGCGCCCCGUCCAUGGCCUCAGCUUCAGUUCCUGCCUCCAGGUUCCUGCUGUUUCUGCCCUGCUGUCCCUUCAUGGCGGACUGUAAGCUGUGAGCUGAAAUAAACCCUUUUCUCCUCAA